CAGACGUGGAUACAGGAUAACAGUCCAGGACCACGAGGUGAUCACAACACUGCCAUGUGAAACCUGGAGGCAUACAGCGAUCCAAGGAUCAGCAAAAAAUUUUGAGGAAUCUAGAAGAGCAACUGCUGAAGAGAAGAGGAGACACAGGAAGGAUCCUACGACCCAAGUGCCUGUAUCCCAGCUGUCCCCAUGUCCCUGCUGAUCCAGAGUCUGCAGGUCUGGAAUUGGCUUCGACAGUCACCAACAACUGUGCCGAAGCUCCUGAGGAUUCUCCUUCCCUCCUGAUCUUCACAUGCGAAGAACCAGCCAUCACCACAUUGCUUGUCGAGACUUGGACACAGCAACACUUCGCUGGCUGCAUUCCGUCUUCCCUGAGAAAUUGGACUGUCGGGUCAACUGACUCUGGAGACUAGCGAACAGGCCCUUCAUUAAUACCGUGACACUCACGUGGAGUGAGAAAGCAGCAUUUCCUUUCAUUGUGAAGUUGAGAAGGAAGAUGGUAUGGGCUCUACAGAGCCCUGAUCUUAACAGCAUUGAGGCUGUCUGGGAUUACCUGGAGAGACCGAAGCAAAUGAGACAGCCAAAGUUUGAAGAAGAACUGCGGCAAGUUUGCCAAGAUGCUUGGAACAUCCUACCAGCUGUUUUUCUUAUAAAACUGCAUGACAGUGUACCUUAGAGAACUGAUGCAAUUUUAAAGGCAAAGGGUGGUCACACUAAAUGUCAAUUAGAUUUUGUUUUAUACUGUUUACUGCUCUUUAUGGUAAUUUUUUUUGACAUUUAGAAACUUUUUAUUUCAUUAUUUUUGAAAGCAUCUUUGCUUUACAGAAUUGUUUUACAUGUGCCUCAGAUUUUUGCACAUUUCUUUACACUGGGAUAAAUUAACUUGAGUAUUGCGUCUGGAAUCUUGAAUCUAAUGAAUGUAAACAUGGAAAUCUUUUACCCUUCUGAUCACUGCUGUCUAUGAAAAAUAAUUCCACUGCCUGGUUACAAUUACUACUGUGUUAAAAUAGAAAAGGAUGAAAAUAUCUAGGCCGAGGUUAUUAGACUAUCCUUCAGUGAUCAAACAUGCACUUGUGAAAGGUAAUUAUUGUAGCACCAGCUAACUCUAAGGUAAGGAAGAUAGCAAAAUAUAUCACAGAUAGAGUACAGGCCAAGGAUGGCUAGUGUUGAUUCAAAGAUUAAAAGAUUUAUUAUCAAAGUAUGUAUCUAGUAUACAACCCUGAGAUUCAUCUUCCUCACAGACAGCCAUGAAACAAAGCAACACCAUGGAACUUGUUCAAAGAAAUAUACCCCCCAGAUCCAAAAAAAAACAAAUCAUACAAAUGGCAAAAAGCACGAGUGAAAAAAACACAGAAUAUUAAACACAAAAUCAAAAGAGUUCAGCAUAUUCAGUGCAGCUCAAUUCAAUUUAGUGUUCUGUCAUUCACUAUCUGCUGCUCAAAAUUACACAAAAUAGCAGCAAAAAAGGAGUGACCAGAAACCAGAAACACACCAUAACGUGAACUACAGAUUCCAAUCCACACACUGUAUUGAUUAAACCUUGGACACACAACUCUGGCACCAUCCUCUGGCAGCACCGAGGGAGAAAGAGACCAUCUGAAUGUAGGGACCUUCUUUCAGCAGCAGCAAGUGAGAGGCUGGUAGAUGGCACCUAAACUCCCUUGCCUUCUGCUUUCGUCUCGAUGACUUCAAUCCUUCUCAGAGCUUUAAUCCAUCAUGGACUCAUGCUUCAUCUCCAGGGUUCUUGACCUUGAGGCCACACACUUUCCAGAACAUCCUCACAGGCAGCAAAGUGCCAUAUUGCUCAAUUGGCCUGAAAACACAUGACCAAAAAUGUAAAUCACAGGCUCCAACAGCAGCGGAAACAAAUUUGAGAGAAAAAGAAGAUGUAACAGAAGUGAUAUAGGUAGUUUCAUGAUCCAUCUGCAGGAUGUCACCCUUGGUCAUGUUGUUAGCUGGUGCCAUCUUCUCCUGCUUUAGUAGAACUGCUGCCUCACAACUAAAGGAUUCAAUACUAACCAAAAGUACUGUUUAUGUGGAGUAUGCAUGUUGUCUAUGAAGUGUACCUUUCCUCUGAGUCCUCUGCAUUAUUCCCACAUUCUGAAGACUUAUGAAGACUCUAUAUUAGACAAUAUAAGAUGACUCAAACCCAACUCCAUCUGUGGAAAGCCAUUAAUGAAAGAAAACAGGGUCAUAAAUUGGGGGACCACUUCAUCCAGCCUCUCUGCUCCAUCCUCCACAAGCAGAACUUCCUGAUGGCCCAAUGUUUUUAUUCUCAUUUCCAUUUCCAUUCCAACAUGUUGGUCCAUGGAGUCCUCUUGUGCCAAGAUAAGGCCAACACAUUAUAUUCCAUCUGGGUAGCCUCCAACUUGAUUGCAUGAAUAUCAAUUUCUCAUUCCAGGAAAAAAAAUAUUUCCCUCCCUUUUCCUCUAUACCCCACUCUGACCUUUUAACCCUUCUCACCUGCUUAUCACUUCCUCCUGGAUUCCUGUCCUAUCAGAUUCCUUUCUCUCCAGCCCUUUACCUUUCCCACCCACAUGGCUUCACCUAUUACCUUCCAGCUAUCCUCCUUUCCCUCCCCCCAUCUUUUUAUUCUAGCAUCUUACCCCUUCAGUCUCAGUCCUGAAGAAUUGUCUCAGCCGGUAACAUCGAUUGUGUUGCUAUGGGUUUCCAAUGACUAAGUUGUGUCAGGAGAACCACUAAACUAACCCGUAAAAAUUGAGAUCUAACCAUUUACUUCUUUCCUUACUUUGUCGAUACUGAGGAAAUAGUGACGUACUUAGCAUUCCAACUCUGACAUUGUGACAACACACACUAAAUGCUGGAGGAACUCAGCAGGCUAGGCAGCAUCUAUGGAAAAGAGUACAGUCGACAUUUUGGGCUGAGACCUUUCAGCAGGACCCUUCAGACAUUGAGAAAUUUUUUUGUUCAAAGAUUGGUGAAAAUGUGGAAAUUUUCUACAUUUGGGAGUCAUUGAGGUAAGCAGUAUUUAAGCAUUAAGCAAAGUCUACUAAACAUAUGAGCAAGUUGAGCAAGAUAAGAGUGGAGGGAUAUUAAUAGAGAGAAGGGGAGAAAAUGGUCUACAGAUCAAUUACAUUGAACAGCCCAGUUUUAUGCUUUAAAGGUCUAUUUAAUUAUAUGUAAUAUUGAAUUUGUGUAACAAAAACAUCUGUCUCCCACAGCUAUGCUAAAAAUGUAACGUACAACUAUCAUUUCCCAAUGAAAACAAACUGAAUUUACAACUGGAGCCUACUUCUAUUUUGGUCUGUUUCACACCCACAUUCUGUGUUUUCUUGUGGCUGUAGUGAGUGGAAAUAGCAUUUCAUGUGGCCUGUGCUAAUAGAGCUACUCAAAAGCUUAGGAAAAGCAAACUUGAAAUGUUUUGGAAGAGCAAUCAGUAAAAGGCCAAUUACAGAUAUAGAUUUAAAAUCCAUUUCCUGUAUGAGCAGUCUUAUUCUAGUUACUUGCAUCUCCGGACAAUGUCUCUAAUUUCAUAAUGAGUCUGAAGGUUUCCUGUUAUCCUCUCCCUUGGUGCUGUCGGUGGGUGGUGCUGGAGCAAGCUUUAAUCAACCCAGACUAUAGAUUUGGACUCUAAAUCAAGUUUAUGAUGUGUUCUAAUUCUUCUAGUUAUGGUCGCUCUUUUUUGUUGCAACACACACACACAAACUGCUGGAGGAAUUCAGCAGUCCAGGCAGCCAUCUAUGGAAAAGAGUUAACAGUCGACAUUUUGGGCCGAGACGCUUCAUCGGGAACUCCUUUCCGCGGAUGCUGCCUGGCCUGCUGAAUUCCUCCACCAUUUUGUGUGUGUUGACUGCAGAUUUUCAGCAUCUGCAGAUUUUCUUCUGUUUGUGGUUGUUUUUUUGUUACUGCUUUUGGGUGACCUUUGAAUUAGGGUGGCCUGCAGAUAAUGAACACUGAGCUGAACUGAAAUAUGCCUAUUGAUAUUAUGCUUUAUAUCCUGUGUUUUUGCUAUUUUUUUGUUGUUGUUUGUGUGACUUUUUUGUGCAUGGGCGGAGGGGUGUUUACUACUUGCUGUUUUUUGAACGGGUUGGUUCCAUAGUUGUUCCUUGUUUCGUGACUCGGGGGAAGACAAAUGUCAGGGUUGUAUACUGCAUACUCACUUAGAUAAUAACUGUUCCUCCGGACCACAGUACACCUUAUAUCACACACAGCACAUAAACCAAAAUAUUAUACUAUAAAUAAGUUAAUAAAAUAUAAUUCAAGUUGCAUGUAGUAAAACACAGCACAGGUAAACAGUAAUCAGCUCGCUGUCCUAGUGAUGUACAUAGAACAUAGAACAUAGAAUAGUACAGCACAGUACAGGCCCUUCGGCCCACAAUGUUGUGCUGACCUUCAAACCCUGCCUCCCAUAUAAGCCCCCACCUUAAAUUCCUCCAUAUACCUGUCUAGUAGUCUCUUAAAUUUCACUAGUGUAUCUGCCUCCCAGGCAGUGCAUUCCACGCACCAACCACUCUCUGAGUAAAAAACCUUCCUCUAAUAUCCCCCUUGAACUGCCCACCCCUUACCUUGAAGCCAUGUCCGCUUGUAUUGAGCAGUGGUGCCCUGGGGAAGAGGCACUGGCUAUCCACUCUAUCUAUUCCUCUUAUUAUCUUGUACACCUCUAUCAUGUCUCCUCUCAUCCUCCUUCUCUCCAAAGAGUAAAGCCCUAGCUCCCUUAAUCUCUGAUCAUAAUGCAUACUUUCUAAACCAGGCAGCAUCCUGGUAAAUCUCCUCUGUACCCUUUCCAAUGCUUCCACAUUCUUCCUAUAGUGAGGCGACCUUGAUGGUGGCAGGGUAUUCAUUCGUCUCACAGCUUGAAAGAAGCUGUGACCCAGUCUGGCCGUCCUAGACCAGACGUUUCUUUACCUUCUUCCUGAUGGUAGUAGGUCAAAGAGAUUGUUGUGAUGGGCGAUAGGGAAUCAUCAACAAUAAUUCAGGCCGUUUGUCUGCAACACUCCCCGUAAAUGCCACAAAUAGGGGAGAGGGAGACACAAUGAUUCUCUUGGUGGUUUUUAACUGUCCUCUGUAGGAUCUUGCAGUCUGAUGCUCUGCUGCUUCCGUACCACACAAUGGUGCAGGCUGACAGGACAUUCUUGAUGGUGCUCUUGAAGAAAGCUGUUAGAAUGGUGGCAGGGAUCCUUACACGUCUCAGUCUCCACAGAAGGUGUAGAGGAUGUUGUGCCUUCUUCACUAGUGAGCAGGCGUUGUGGUCCCAUGUUAGAUCAUCAGUUAUGUGCACACCAAGGAAUUUUGUGCUCUUCACUCUCUCCACAGCAGAUCCAUUGAUGUGCAAUGGAGAAUGGUCAACCUCUGCCUUCCUGAAGUCAACAAUCAUCUCUUUUGUCUUGUGCGUGUUGAAACUCAGGCUAUUGUUCUCACACCAUUUGACAGGCCUCCCUAUCUCUUCUCUGUAUGCCAACUCAUCAUUGUUGCUGAUGAGAUCCAACUGCUGUAGGAUCAUCAGCGAACCUGAUGAUGCGGUUUGAGCUGGAUCUGGCAGUGCAGUCGUGAGUCAGCAGCAAACUGAGCACACAACCCCUGGGGGAGGGGAUGAUGGGAAUCAAUGCUCAGCAUGAUGGAGCUUGAGAUAUUGCUGCCAACUUAGACCAAAGGGUCUUUUCGUCAAGAAGUCCAAGAUCCAUUUACAGAGAGGGGUGUUGAGUCCCAAUGUGGACAAUUUAGCAAUCAACCUCUGAGUGAUGAUCAUGUUGAAGGCCAAGCUCAAGUCAAUGAUCAAUAUCCUGGUAUACGAGGCAUCAUCUUCUAGGAGAGACAGGAUGGACUGGAGGGCUGAGGCUAUGGCAUCAUUAAUGGACCAGUAUGAGUGGUAGGUGAACUGGAAAUGGUCUGCACAGUAACUGGUAAGACAGUGAUGAGUUUAGGCAGGAGAAAGUGCUGACCCUGGGUCACAGCCACAUGAGUAAAAUGUAUUUCAAAGUCUGUAGGAAAAUGUAUUACUAGUCUUAAACUAACUCAGUACAGGGAAACAUACUUGUAGCAGGUGUGUUGGUGCAUGGCUAAGUGGUUAAGGUGUUCGUCUAGUGAUCUGAAGGUCGUUAGUUCGAGCCUUGGCUGAGUCAGCAUGUGUGUCCUUGAGCAAGGCACUUAACCACACAUUGCUCUGCGAUGACACCGGUGCCAAGCUGUAUGGGCCCUUGGACAACAUCGGUGGCGUGGAGGGGGAGACUUGCAGCAUGGGCAACUGCCAGUCUUCCGUACAACCUUGCCCUUGCCUGCGCCCUGGAAACUUUCCAAGGUGCAAGUCCAUGGUCUCAUGAGACUAACGGAUGCCUAAAAAUAAUUCUAAUAAACCAAUACCGCUGCUGGCGAUCUAGCACAGGUUGUUACCCUUGGUUGACAUGCCCUCCAAUCACUCCAGUAAUGAUGUUCCAAAAGUUGAAGAACUGAAUUCGAUCUUUUAUUAGCAACUAGCAAAACAUACAAUCUUGAACCGAUGAAACUUAAGCAUAAUUAAGCAUAACUAAGCGAUCAAUAAAAGAUUGACACAUGGCGGUUCCCAAAAUAAAACUAAACUGCCCAGAACAAAGCACAAAUACAUUACUUAUUCCCCUUGCUUUUACCAUGCUCCCACUCACCUCGUUACCAAAGAGAAUCUCAGAUGACUAUUUGUUUGCAGUUAUUGUUUGCAUUAUUUGUUUUUUUUGUCUCUGCACUCUAGGUGUUUGAUGGUCUUUUUUUAUGGGUUCUUUUGGGUUACUUUGUUUCGUGGCUGCCUGUUGGGGGACAAAUCUCAAAGUUGUAUAAUAUGAACGUACUUUGAUAGUAAAUGUAUUUUGAAGUUUGAACUUUGAACUUUUAAUCA